AGAGUUUGAUCCUGGCUCAGAACGAACGCUGGCGGCAGGCUUAACACAUGCAAGUCGAACGCAUCGCAAGAUGAGUGGCAGACGGGUGAGUAACGCGUGGGAAUCUACCCAACCCUACGGAAUAGCUCCGGGAAACUGGAAUUAAUACCGUAUACGCCCUUUGGGGGAAAGAUUUAUCGGGGAUGGAUGAGCCCGCGUUGGAUUAGCUAGUUGGUGGGGUAAAGGCCUACCAAGGCGACGAUCCAUAGCUGGUCUGAGAGGAUGAUCAGCCACAUUGGGACUGAGACACGGCCCAAACUCCUACGGGAGGCAGCAGUGGGGAAUAUUGGACAAUGGGCGCAAGCCUGAUCCAGCCAUGCCGCGUGAGUGAUGAAGGUCUUAGGAUUGUAAAGCUCUUUCACCGGAGAAGAUAAUGACGGUAU
rnacentral:rRNA from 1 species